ensembl:lncRNA
GUCAGCGCCCGCCGGGGAGGGAGGGGGGGGGACGGGCAGCGGGAGCUCCGCGGCCGCGGCACCUGAGAGCGAGUGGGGGGGCGCGGCCUCGGGGCAGGGAGCGCCCGGAGGGGGGCGAGGGGGGCGGCGGGGGGGAGGGGGGGCGGUGCGGGCGCGGUGCCGCGGAGCGGCCGCGCGGUGAGGGGUGCGGGGGGGUCUGACGGGGAAACAAAGGGGAACAAAGCGACGGCGGCCGCGGCUGUGCCGGGCUCUUCCCUGGCGAAGGGUGGGGAUCGCCCUCAAAUUAACGGCGGUGUUGGGAAGGAGGUGGUUUUCGGGUCUGAAAGCGGAAGGGAUCGGGGUUGCGUUGCGCCAUUCGAGGCGCUGAAGGUCUGAGGCGGCGACGGGACCGCGGCGUUCCGUCGCGGAGCGGAGCGGUGCGGGGCCGCUCGGGGGAACCCCCCGGGAGGGGCGGGGGUCCGGUGGGACCUCGGGCUCCGCUCCUCGCAGCCCCCCCACCCCCAUCCCGCCUCGGGGUGAGGCUCCCUCCCGGUCACAGGGAAGAGAAAACCAUUCGGUGGUGGAAGAAAAGGCGAUUAAAUUAAAUUACUUUGGGGAUUACGGGCCACAUGCGGUGUAUUAAAGUGCUUUAAGCUACUUUGUAGCUUCUUUGGCAUUAGGGCGUUUAAUACGGGCUCGGUCGGUCUGCCCGGGAGCUUUGCUGGACGAGAAGGAGCGGGGUGGGAGGGAGACGGGACGCAGGGGAAAAGGAGACGGGAGCAGCACAGGGAGCUCGGGUCUGAGAGCUUUGCUUUGCUCCAUGUAGACCAGAUCCGGCUUUAAUUCGCCGUGCUAUAAACAAUAAUUUUUCUAAUCGGGGCCACCGAUACGAAAGGAGAACGCCCGUCUGUAGGCAGGGAUCUGAAAUGGGUAAUGCCGCCCGGGCAGCGUGCUUUGUAUGUUGCCCAUGGGGCGCGGGGACAGCCGCUGCCAGCGCCCGGCGUGCAGUGCCCGGCCGGGACGAGGGCACAAACGUCGGAGGUUUGAGGCUGAGGAAGGGGAAAGCCGAUUCCUUUCCCAGAUCCUUCCCCCCGGGAGUGAGCGCUUCGGUCGGGCAGCGCUUCGGCCGUAGGCAGAUGUGUGAGACGGAGGUUCGGAUCCGCAGGGAGAGCGGCAGCAGCGUGGGGAGCUCCUGGAAUCACGGAGCGUGUGUCGCAUUUCUCACUCGGUUCGGGAUGUACCCAGAGAGAGGGGGGGGGGGGGGGGGGGAGAAGGACGAGACGAGGGGAUUCCUCGCUUGUUUUUCCUUAAG